rnacentral:rRNA from 1 species
AGAUUGAACGCUGGCGGCAGGCCUAACACAUGCAGGUCGAGCGGUAGAGAGGUGCUUGCACCUCUUGAGAGCGGCGGACGGGCGAGUAAUGCCUAGGAAUCUGCCUAGUGGUGGGGGAUAACGUUCGGAAACGGACGCUAAUACCGCAUACGUCCUACGGGAGAAAGCGGGGGACCUUCGGGCCUCGCGCCAUUAGAUGAGCCUAGGUCGGAUUAGCUAGUUGGUGAGGUAAUGGCUCA